GGGCAGCAACCCAACAACAGGUUAUCCGAUUUAUCUGAAAAUUUCAGGGCAGAUAGAUCUUGACCUGUUACACAAGUUUACCCCAUGUCAGAUUUGCUCUAAAUGCUUUGGUUUUUGAGUUAUAAGCCAAAAACUGCAUUUUACCCCUAUGUUCUAUUUUUAGCCAUGGCGGCCAUCUUGGAUGGUUGGCCGGGUCACCGGACACAUUUUUAAACUAGAUACCCCAAUGAUGAUUUUGGCCAAGUUUGGUGUAAUUUGGCCCAGUAGUUUCAGAGGAGAAGAUUUUUGUAAAAGUUAACGACGCCAGACGACGACGGACGACAGACG
rnacentral:lncRNA from 1 species